UAGGGAAUCUUCGGCAAUGGACGAAAGUCUGACCGAGCAACGCCGCGCGAGUGAAGAAGGUUUUCGGAUCGUAAAACUCUGUUGUUAGAGAAGAACAAGGACGUUAGUAACUGAACGUCCCCUGACGGUAUCUAACCAGAAAGCCACGGCUAACUACGUGCCAGCAGCCGCGGUAAUACGUAGGUGGCAAGCGUUGUCCGGAUUUAUUGGGCGUAAAGCGAGCGCAGGCGGUUUCUUAAGUCUGAUGUGAAAGCCCCCGGCUCAACCGGGGAGGGUCAUUGGAAACUGGGAGACUUGAGUGCAGAAGAGGAGGGUGGAAUUCCAUGUGUAGCGGUGAAAUGCGUAGAUAUAUGGAGGAACACCAGUGGCGAAGGCGGCUCUCUGGUCUGUAACUGACGCUGAGGGUCGAAAGCGUGGGGAGCAAACAGG
rnacentral:rRNA from 1 species